CAAUGAGUGUUCAAUGGCACUUAAAAAUCCAUUACCCACCUUGUGUGCAAUGUAAGGAGGAGACAGGAAGGAGCGGUCAAACGUUUCUCUCUCUGUCGCUUUCAUCAUACAUAUACUAUCUUCAUUUUUCGUCUACUUUUGUACGAGUAUAAUAACUCUAAUA
rnacentral:misc_RNA from 1 species